CCUAAUUUCUCCUGUAAGUCCCUCUGGAUAAGAGGGUCUGCUAAAUGACUCAAA
rfam:Salmo salar isolate Sally breed double haploid chromosome ssa17, whole genome shotgun sequence.